rnacentral:lncRNA from 1 species
AUGAUUCAUGGAUACAUAAAAUAUGAAUGGUAAUAUAAAUGCCCAAUAAGUAUAAAAUCAUAUCCUAGAAAUAUGAUAUGUGUCAGCCAAGAUUGACUUUUAGGACAUACAUCCAACAGUUGCCUCUCAUGUGAAGACAAAAACUGCACAUGCUGCCUACAGACAUACGCUACCUCUCAUAUAAAAAUGAGAAGUGCACAAGCUACUUUUCGCAUUACUAGAAGUGUAUAUGCUGCCACUCACAAGAUGAGCUGUGCACACACUACCUCUCACAUGAAGAUGAGAAGUGCACACACUGCCUACAGACACACACUGCCUCUUACAUAAAAAUGAGAAGUGCACAAGCUGCCUCUCACAUUAUGAGAAGUGCACACGCUGCCACUUACAAGAUGAGCUAUGCACAUGCUGCCUCUUGCAUGAAGAUAAGAAGUGCAUACGCUGCCUAUAGGCACAUACUACCUCUUGCGUAAAGAUGAGAAGUGCACACGCUGCCUACAGGCACAUGCUACCUCUGAUAUAAAGAUGAGAAGUGCACAAACUGCCUAUGGGUAUAUGCUGCUUCUCACAUGAAGAUGAAAAGUGUACAUACUGCCUAUAAGCACACGCUACCUCUCGUAUGAAACGAGAAGUGCACACACUACCUACGGGCACACGCUGCCUCUCGCAUG